rnacentral:misc_RNA from 1 species
GAUGAAGAACGUAGCGAAAUGCGAUAAGUAAUGUGAAUUGCAGAAUUCAGUGAAUCAUCGAAUCUUUGAACGCACAUUGCGCCCCCUGGUAUUCCGGGGGGCAUGCCUGUUCGAGCGUCAUUUCACCACUCAAGCCUCGCUUGGUAUUGGGCAACGCGGUCCGCCGCGUGCCUCAAAUCGACCGGCUGGGUCUUCUGUCCCCUAAGCGUUGUGGAAACUAUUCGCUAAAGGGUGCUCGGGAGGCUACGCCGUAAAGCAAACCCAUUUCUAAGGUUGACCUCGGAUCAGGUAGGGAUACCCGCUGAACUUAAGCAUAUCAAUAAGCGGAGGA